rnacentral:rRNA from 1 species
GUAGGUGGCAAGCGUUGUCCGGAAUUAUUGGGCGUAAAGCGCGCGCAGGCGGUUCUUUAAGUCUGAUGUGAAAGCCCACGGCUCAACCGUGGAGGGUCAUUGGAAACUGGAGAACUUGAGUACAGAAGAGGAAAGCGGAAUUCCACGUGUAGCGGUGAAAUGCGUAGAGAUGUGGAGGAACACCAGUGGCGAAGGCGGCUUUCUGGUCUGUAACUGACGCUGAGGCGCGAAAGCGUGGGGAGCAAACAGGAUUAGAUACCCUGGUAGUCCACGCGUAAACGAUGAGUGCUAAGUGUUAGGGGGUUUCCGCCCCCCUUAGUGCUGCAGCUAACGCAUUAAGCACUCCGCCUGGGAUACGGCCGCAAGGCUG